CGCAUCUGUGCAUGCAGCAUAUCAAUAAGCGGAGGAAAAGAAACUAACAAGGAUUCCCCUAGUAACGGCGAGUGAAGCGGGAAGAGCUCAAAUUUGAAAUCUUAAAGGGUUUCCCUUUACGAAUUGUAGUUUAAAGAAGUGUUUUCUGUUGAGGUUUUGGUAAAAGUUCUUUGGAAUAGGACAUCAUAGAGGGUGAGAAUCCCGUAUUUGACCUUUACUUUCAACUUUGUGAUACACCUUUCAAAGAGUCGGAUUGUUUGGGAAUGCAGUCCAAAAUGGGUGGUAAAUUUCAUCUAAAGCUAAAUAUUGGCGAGAGACCGAUAGCGAACAAGUACCGUGAGGGAAAGAUGAAAAGAACUUUGAAAAGAGAGUUAAACAGUACGUGAAAUUGUCAAAAGGGAAGCGUUUGACACCAGUGUUGUUUUUCUGAAAAUCAAUUAAAGAACUGUUUAUGCUAAGUUGUUUAGACUUUAUCAGCUAACUGUUUAGUUUUGAGCUUUUCUUUAAUGCACUUUUCAGUUAACAAGUCAACAUCAAUUUCUUUUGCUGUAAAAAAGCUUGAGGAAGGUGGCUUGAGAUUCGUCUUAAGUGUUUAUAGCCUCUUGCCUAUGCAGUCGGAGAGAUUGAGGUCUGCAGCGUAGAUCCUUCGGGGCUAAAUGCAUUUGUGCUAAGUUAUAGCAUUUUAUAGACAACUUGUUGACUAUGAUUUGUCUUGUAGCUUACUCGCUUAUGUUAUUUUACCUACGCUUAGGAUGUUGAACGCGCACAGAGUCUC
rnacentral:rRNA from 1 species